UCGGAUCUGGGCGUAAGCGCACGCAGGCGGUCUGUCAAGUCGGAUGUGAAAUCCCCGGGCUCAACCUGGGAACUGCAUUCGAAACUGGCAGGCUAGAGUCUUGUAGAGGGGGGUAGAAUUCCAGGUGUAGCGGUGAAAUGCGUAGAGAUCUGGAGGAAUACCGGUGGCGAAGGCGGCCCCCUGGACAAAGACUGACGCUCAGGUGCGAAAGCGUGGGGAGCAAACAGGAUUAGAUACCCUGGUAGUCCACGCUGUAAACGAUGUCGAUUUGGAGGUUGUGCCCUUGAGGCGUGGCUUCCGGAGCUAACGCGUUAAAUCGACCGCCUGGGGAGUACGGCCGCAAGGUUAAAACUCAAAUGAAUUGACGGGGGCCCGCACAAGCGGUGGAGCAUGUGGUUUAAUUCGAUGCAACGCGAAGAACCUUACCUGGUCUUGACAUCCACAGAACUUUCCAGAGAUGGAUUGGUGCCUUCGGGAACUGUGAGACAGGUGCUGCAUGGCUGUCGUCAGCUCGUGUUGUGAAAUGUUGGGUUAAGUCCCGCAACGAGCGCAACCCUUAUCCUUUGUUGCCAGCGGUCCGGCCGGGAACUCAAAGGAGACUGCCAGUGAUAAACUGGAGGAAGGUGGGGAUGACGUCAAGUCAUCAUGGCCCUUACGACCAGGGCUACACACGUGCUACAAUGGCAUAUACAAAGAGAAGCGACCUCGCGAGAGCAAGCGGACCUCAUAAAGUAUGUCGUAGUCCGGAUUGGAGUCUGCAACUCGACUCCAUGAAGUCGGAAUCGCUAGUAAUCGUAGAUCAGAAUGCUACGGUGAAUACGUUCCCGGGCCU
rnacentral:rRNA from 1 species